rnacentral:rRNA from 1 species
UACAGAGGGGGCAAGCGUUGUUCGGAAUUACUGGGCGUAAAGGGCGCGUGAGGCGCUGCUAAGUCGAACGUGAAAUCCCCGGGCUCAACCCGGGAACUGCGUCCGAUACUGGCAGGCUUGAAUCCGGGAGAGGGAUGCGGAAUUCCAGGUGUAGCGGUGAAAUUCGUAGAUAUCUGGAGGAACACCGGUGGCGAAGGCGGCAUCCUGGACCGGUAUUGACGCUGAGGCGCGAAAGCCAGGGGAGCAAACGGG